GAUUAAGAACGCAGCGAAAUGCGAUAAGUAAUGCGAAUUGCAGAAUUUCCGUGAGUCAUCGAAUCUUUGAACGCACAUUGCGCCCACUGGUAUUCCGGUGGGCAUGCCUGUUCGAGCGUCAUUUCAACCCUCGAACCCCUCCGGGGGGUCGGCGUUGGGGAUCGGCCCUUUACGGGGCCGGCCCCGAAAUACAGUGGCGGUCUCGCCGCAGCCUCUCCUGCGCAGUAGUUUGCACACUCGCAUCGGGAGCGCGGCGCGUCCACAGCCGUUAAACACCCCAAACUUCUGAAAUGUUGACCUCGGAUCAGGUAGGAAUACCCGCUGAACUUAAGCAUAUCAAUAAGCGGAGGA
rnacentral:misc_RNA from 1 species